GACGAACGCUGGCGGCGUGCCUAAUACAUGCAAGUAGAACGCUGAAGAGAGGAGCUUGCUCUUCUUGGAUGAGUUGCAAACGGGUGAGUAACGCGUAGGUAACCUGCCUGGUAGCGGGGGAUAACUAUUGGAAACGAUAGCUAAUACCGCAUAAUAUUGACUAUUGCAUGAUAGUCAAUUAAAAGGUGCAAUUGCAUCACUACCAGAUGGACCUGCGUUGUAUUAGCUAGUUGGUGAGGUAACGGCUCACCAAGGCGACGAUACAUAGCCGACCUGAGAGGGUGAUCGGCCACACUGGGACUGAGACACGGCCCAGACUCCUACGGGAGGCAGCAGUAGGGAAUCUUCGGCAAUGGACGGAAGUCUGACCGAGCAACGCCGCGUGAGUGAAGAAGGUUUUCGGAUCGUAAAGCUCUGUUGUAAGAGAAGAACGAGUGUGAGAGUGGAAAGUUCACACUGUGACGGUAUCUUACCAGAAAGGGACGGCUAACUACGUGCCAGCAGCCGCGGUAAUACGUAGGUCCCGAGCGUUGUCCGGAUUUAUUGGGCGUAAAGCGAGCGCAGGCGGUUAGAUAAGUCUGAAGUUAAAGGCUGUGGCUUAACCAUAGUACGCUUUGGAAACUGUUUAACUUGAGUGCAAGAGGGGAGAGUGGAAUUCCAUGUGUAGCGGUGAAAUGCGUAGAUAUAUGGAGGAACACCGGUGGCGAAAGCGGCUCUCUGGCUUGUAACUGACGCUGAGGCUCGAAAGCGUGGGGAGCAAACAGG
rnacentral:rRNA from 1 species